CCUGAUGCAGCGACGCCGCGUGAGGGAUGACGGCCUUCGGGUUGUAAACCUCUUUCAGCAGGGACGAAGCGCAAGUGACGGUACCUGUAGAAGAAGGACCGGCCAACUACGUGCCAGCAGCCGCGGUAAUACGUAGGGUCCGAGCGUUGUCCGGAAUUACUGGGCGUAAAGAGCUCGUAGGUGGUUUGUCGCGUUGUUCGUGAAAACUCACAGCUUAACUGUGGGCGUGCGGGCGAUACGGGCAGACUUGAGUACUGCAGGGGAGACUGGAAUUCCUGGUGUAGCGGUGGAAUGCGCAGAUAUCAGGAGGAACACCGGUGGCGAAGGCGGGUCUCUGGGCAGUAACUGACGCUGAGGAGCGAAAGCGUGGGGAGCGAACAGGAUUAGAUACCCUGGUAGUCCACGCCGUAAACGGUGGGUACUAGGUGUGGGUUUCCUUCCUUGGGAUCCGUGCCGUAGCUAACGCAUUAAGUACCCCGCCUGGGGAGUACGGCCGCAAGGCUAAAACUCAAAGAAAUUGACGGGGGCCCGCACAAGCGGCGGAGCAUGUGGAUUAAUUCGAUGCAACGCGAAGAACCUUACCUGGGUUUGACAUGCACAGGACGUGCCUAGAGAUAGGUAUUCCCUUGUGGCC
rnacentral:rRNA from 1 species